UCAUCACUAGACACUACGAAUAAAAUAAGGUAAUCAUUGUAACCAAAAAGAGUAAUUUCAACCUCAAGUUAAAAAGAAGAAGUUGAUUAUAUAACCAUUUUUAAUAACUGUUUUAAAACUGUUUAAUUUGUCGCUUGCGAAACAAUCAAGCACAUGGGUCAAACAUAUAUACUAUUUUAGUAUAGUAUGAAAUUGUGCAUUAUCAUUAUGAGCCACAGCUAACGACAAGUGCCUCAAAAUUUGAAUGAAUCUUAAAAAUAAAUAAAAACAUGACUGAAGAGAACCUUUAAAAGCAACAGAUCUAUGAGUGACAAUAACAAUCAUAUACAUUAACAAAACCGAUAUAUUUCUAUUUCAUAUGCAAUACAGAGUUGAUUCAGUUAGUUGUAAGAUGACACUUCGUUAAUGGAUCCGACUCCAGGUGUGGUUGGUUUUUUUUUUUUUUUUUUUUUUGUCAAACCCAGGUGUGGUUGGUUCUACACAUGAAAAAGGUAUUUUGCCAUAGCUGAAUAUAUAUAAUAGUAUGAUCAAGUUAACUUCUCGGUCAGAAUAAUAUAUCCACCUUUGAUAAAAAAAUAAAAUAAUAUAUCCACCAAAUAACAAAACUAUUUUUGAAACAAUUUUGUAAAAUGUGUGUUUAGCAAAACAAAAUAAUUGUGUAAAAUGUAUAACUACAGUCAAA
rnacentral:lncRNA from 1 species